GCGGACGGACGGUGGGGCGCCCUCGCGCCAUACAACCACGUCGGCAUCCGGCGAUGAUGGGACGUAGAACCAAACCUAACCCCCUUCCCGUUCGCUCCUCCCCAGAUCCCUCCUGCUCGGCCGCCGGGAGCGCUGCCGCCACCGCUGCUUGCACAUCUAGAGUUUAUCCCUGGUAUCUCUCUCCAAUCCCCGCUCAUCCUCCCAGUCCCGUUCCUCCUCACCCAUCCCCAGUCUCCUUCUCCUUCACCCCCUCCACCAUCUUCGUUUGGGCGGACAGUGACGGCGGCGGCUGAUGCGGGAAUGAGAGGGGACGGCGUAGGGAGGAGGAGCAGGCGGAGGAGAUGGAUCGGCAGGAAGAUGUUGGUCUGGAACCUCCAUGCUCGACAACUCUACAUCUAGCAGCGGCCCAGCAGGGCUCAGGCUCGUCCAACACUUUCUCCACCUCAACGCCCUGCAUAUUUUAGACCAGAAAAAUGCAGCGGCAGCUUCAACUGGGCGUGCACGGGAGCAGCAGCAAGGAGGAAAUUGUUUUGCAGUACCUUGUGGUGUUCAUCUGAACUAGGAUUCCCUCUAGAAUUGAAGUAUGUUAUUAUGGCUGUCAGUUAAUCAAUGAAGCUAUACUUGCUAGGAGGUAGCUGACUGAGCAGUAAUAUUUAAGUUGAUAUAACCUCACAUACAAAAGUUAUUAAUAAUAGAGAUUCGUUUAAGAUAAUUUGAGGUGACCACUGCUAGCAUCGUCUAUAAUUUUCUGGUUUUGUCAAAUUAUGAUACUGAUUUUCGUACCAGAUAGUACGAUACUUUGUAGCGAAUGGGCUCCGAAAAAGAGAAGCAUCAUGCCGUACUGUGGAUUGAGGAGAUUGCAUAGUUCCGCAAGAUUUUGUGUUGCUUCAUCAAGGCACAUCAAUAUAUUCUGACACUAACCUUUCUCUUUCUCUCUGCACUUCUAUGUAAUGUGUAAUAUUUACCUUCCUUUUUCAAUCUGCGGUUUUAUGGAGUGUGUGAUCUAUUCCCCUAAAGUUGUUUGGUGCUUCUCCCCUGGACAUUGGACAUUGUAUCGCUCAAUCGGGGCAAUUUGGUUCCGUAAAAGUUCUCUUUGCAUUCAUAUUCAUUUAGAUAUGUGUACCAACAUAUAUCUUCCCCUGAAAUAUGCACCUUCCCUGGUUUGUGACAAAUGGGUAUUGUGUGAUUCAGGUGUGCUGCUUCUACCUGCAUACAUCCUGCUAAGUCAAAGGUCAAAGGCGACUUUCUGGACAUUGACCAUUCAGGUAAUUAUAUUUUUCUUAAGUGCUGCCCUUUUUUCUAAUUGCAGCUUGGAUUCUUCGUUUUUCUAUAGAGGGUGUGUCUCUAUUAACUGAAAACAGUAGUUAGUGUACAUGGUAUUUCUUUUUUAACAUGCCUAUCAUGUCAAGAUUGUUUAUCAUGCAUUACUAACAAUUUUUUUGGUCUGCACAACAAACAAACCCAUUACUGUGGCUAGAUGUGACACUUUAGAGUUCAAAUCUUUAGGUACAGUUAUAAUUACCAUCGUGUUUAUCCUUGGAGAAAGUAGCACAAAGCUAUGUUAUAUGCUGCUCUCAAUGAGUCAGUGAGAGCCAAUAUUAUUUUCAAGUAGAUAAUUACAUUUUCUUACCACUCAGUUUUGCAACUUUUUAAAAUUACAUGAAUUCCCUAUACUCACAUUUUGACUUAUUGCCAUCUACUUAACCAAGUAUACAGAUGUUCUCUUAAAAGAGAUCAGUCAACAUGUAUCUGUAGGAAGUUAGAAGUGCAGAUGCAGCUGGCUAAUCUAGACAUAAAAAGAUCAAGCUCUCACAAGCACACACAAUGUUUGAGCACAAAUACAAUGGCCCUGUUCUUACGUACACAUUUUGGAUUAUUUCCAUCCACUUAAAUAGGUAUCCAGAGUUGUGUUUAGUAGGAACUUAGAAGUGCAGAUGCAGCUGACUAAUUUUAUCUCUCACAAGCACACAGUAGGUGAAAAAAGACUUGGAAGUAAAUCGAGUAGAAUCAUUCCGAGGUUGAAAAGGCUCUAGCAAUCAGUCCACAUAACCAUUAAUAUCGUAAUAAUUGGGUAUCCCGAAGUUACACUCAUCAAUAAGACAAUGUAUAUUUCGAAUAUUAGCUUUCCUUUUAUUUUUUCAGCUUAGCAGUGCAAAUCUGAAACAGGUGAAUCAAAGGUAUGAUAUUGUGUUUUUGUUGCUGACUUCAUUUACUACAUCAUGGUAUUCUCCGUCAUUGAGGCGGCUCAAGCGUGCUCUUUUCUACAUGGCCAUGUCGCUUGUGAUCUGGCCCUCUGCUUUUGGUGCACAGCUGCCUACAGCCCGUGCACUUUGUGACAUCUUAUUGCGUUGAAGGUGAGGCAUGGGAUAACUCAAUCAUGUGCAAUGCUUCUGUUGUGUGAUUAUCGUUGCUUCUGUUGUAGGUGAGGCAUUGGGUGACUUAUUCGUAUGGGCAUGGUUUGAGGUUAACAUGUUAUAUAUCCAUUCAGAACAGAGCAUGUUAUAUGCAAGAGGCCCAUGGUUUUGUUUUGUGAUGUUGACGAACUGCUACCACAAAGAACGAAAGAUAUUAAUGGAUGGUGGCAAGAAGGCUGGCAAUUCCGAGUUCUUGGUGUUUAACAAGAUAAGGGAAGGCAUGCUUCUUUUGUUUGGUAAUUUGUUAAUGGUUGAUUUUUGGCAAUAGAUGCUACCACUCUAUACUGAAGACCAUUUGGAUUCUGAUGUAUCCAAGCAAUACUCCUUGUUGCCCUCCUCUCAGUUAUUCAGAGUGUAUAUAUACUCCAGACAUACGUAUAGUACAACCGUCCAUUUUCAAGAAGCUACUUUGGUGAACAACAUGGUCUCCAAAAUACACCAUUGACCGGUAAAUUCUAUCCUUAUAUUUUAGUUUCCCAUGUUGCCAAGGAUGACACUUGGAAGGUAUCUAGGUACUCUCGGGGUCAUGUAUUUCCUACACGCAUAAGAGGAAUCAAUAGAAGCCACCUACAAAUGAACAAAAUGCCAUAUGUCUAUGCUUAAUGGUGAACAAAAGACCAUAUGUCUAUGCUGAAUGGGGCCUCAAGAAUCUCAAAGCACAAGAUGCACCAAAAUAGGACGUGUUAAUCAAUCUAAAUAUCAACUAUUUUUCAUGUUGUUUCAAGUUUAAACUCUAAAUUAGAUCUGAUGUGUACAUGCUUCUACAAGUCAAUGGAUAUGAUGACGAACUUUAAUACUAGAGUUCGGUUCCAUUAAAAGUUGGUAAUUACUUUGUCGAUAACCCAUUAAUGAAAGGAGGCUUCCGCUGCAAAUGCGCUGGCUCUGUUAGACCUUGUUUAAAUGCCACCGGUCCCAGAAAUGAGAGUAUUAAAACAAUAGAUCCUCGAAGUAUAACUAUCCGCCAAAUCCAAAUUUGCUUAAUUAUAGGGAAGCCAAAUGUUUGAACAAUACACAUCAUAUGGUUUUGGAGCUUGAUCGGUAACCCACCUUGUAGGGUUGGAUGUCUCAAGUGAUUCUAAUGCAACAAAUGCUCUGUAACGAGUUUUGAAAAAUACAAAAGCAGCUGCUCAUUCCUGUGUACAGUUCCACAAUUAAAAUUAUUUACUUGCACCAGAUAAAUCCAUCUGAGUAAUGGUUUGUGUUUGAUGCCUGCCAGUAAUUGUUUGUUCAUUCGGCGCUUAGCAAGGCAAUAUUGUGGCUUGGAAAAACAUGUAGUAAUAACGAAGGCACUAAAAGAAAAUAGAAAUUUUGAAAAUGCUCUCUGUGAAUGCCAAGAAACGACAAUAUAUUCAGAAAUAAGCUUUGUAAAUCUCCUUAAAAAAUAGCAUGCGGGCCAAUCAGACCAAGUCUGACUUGUUUUCAUUACCAAACAACUAUUUUUGUGCAUGUUUUUAGAUACCUCAGACUCACCUGAUUCUGAAUUUUCAUUUAUCAUAAUGAUUGCAAAAUGAUUUUCAAUUUAUUUAUCUCCUCACUCAUGGACAAACGAAUUACCUUCAAUUUCUCCAGGAGUUUGAUGUAUGUUUUCACAAAUUGUUACUUUUUUUCUUAUCGUCUACUAUCAGUAUUUGAGAAUAGUUCUCACAAAAAGUAAAGCUCUGGAGUCUGAUAUGUAUUUCUCUAGACCUUGUAUAAAUGCCACUGGUCCCAGAAAUAAGAGCAUUAAAGCAAUAGAUCCUCGAAGCAUAACUAUCCGCCAAAUCCAAAUCUUCUUAAUCAUAGGGAAGCCAAAUAUUUGACCAAUGCACAUCGUCUGGUUUUGGAGCUUGAUCGGUAACCCACCUUGUAGGGUUCCAUGUAUCAAGUGAUUCUAAUGCAACAAAUGCUCUAUAACGAGUUUUAAAAAUACAAAAGCAGCUGCACAUUCCUGUGUAUAGUUCCACAAUUAAAAUUAAUUACUUACACCAUAUAAAUCCAUUUGGGUAAUGGUUUGUGUUUGAUGCCUGGCACUAAUUGUUUGUUCAUUCGGGGCUUAGCAAGGCAAUAUUGUGGCUUGGAAAAACAUGUAGUAAAAACGAUGGCACUAAAAGAAAAUAUAAAAUUUUGAAAAUGCUCUCUGUGAAUGCCAAGAAAAGACAAUAUAUUCAGAAAUAAUCUUUGUAAACCUCCUUAAGAAAUAGCAUGCGGGCCAAUCAGACCAAGUCCUAUUUGUUUUCAUUACCAAACAGCUAUUGUUGUGCAUGUUUUUAGAUACCUCAGACUCACCUGAUUCUGAAUUUUCAUUUAUCACAAUGAUUGCAAAAUGUUUUUUAAUCUAUUUAUCUCCUCAUUCAUGGACAACCGACUUACCUUCAAUUUCUCCAGGAGUUCGAUGUAUGUUUUCACAAAUUGUUAUGUUUUUCUGUUCGGUUACUGUCAGUAUUUUAGAAUAAUUCUCACAAAAAAGUAGAGCUCUGGACUCUUUGCAAUCAUGGGCAAACUCUACAGAGGAAAUAUCCAACAAAGGAAACGAGAAAUUGCUGCACUGAUGAAAUGAUUCCUAUAAGUAGAAACGGAAUGAAAGGCCAAUUUCUGUUCCAAUGGAACACCGUGCUGGUGCUUCCGAGAGAUGCAGCUGGAGCAUGUUGUGUGGUGGCUGAUGGCUCUUCUUGUGAAGCUGUGUUUGAAGACUCUACAUUGCCGCCGGAAGGUCCUACUGUGUCCAUGAAGGUGUCGGAAAUCCAAUCUACAGAUUAUGAAAUAGCAUAUACAUUGAAGAAGCAACUUACAUGGUCAUCAGAGAUUUUCACUACGCUCAACUUGAAGAGAUAGAAUAUACUAAUGAAUACCUGAUGUGUGAAGUCAAACAGUUCCUAAGCUUAGAAACAAGGUUGCAUUUAUAAAAUUAUUGUGUAUUCUGUAGUCCCCGUAGCCUAUUCAAUUUUGCUGUAGCCUAUUCAAUUUUGUUGUUUGAUCUCUUUUGCAACAGUAGGUAUUAUCACCAAUGGUUGGUCGGUUA